rnacentral:rRNA from 1 species
GACGAACGCUGGCGGCGUGCUUAACACAUGCAAGUCGAGCGAUGAACUUUUCAUGAAUUUUUCGGAAUGAUUGGAAGAGGAUUAGCGGCGGACGGGUGAGUAACGCGUGAGCAACCUGCCUUAAACAACGGGAUAGCCUCGGGAAACCGGGAUUAAUCCCGUAUGUGACCCCGCCUUCACAUGAAGAAGAGGUUAAAGAUUUAUCGGUUUAAGAUGGGCUCGCGUCUGAUUAGCUAGUUGGUGAGAUAAAAGCCCACCAAGGCAACGAUCAGUAACCGGCUUGAGAGAGUGAACGGUCACAUUGGAACUGAGACACGGUCCAAACUCCUACGGGAGGCAGCAGUGGGGAAUAUUGCACAAUGGGGGAAACCCUGAUGCAGCGACGCCGCGUGAGCGAUGAAGGAAUUUGUUUCGUAAAGCUCUGUCCAAGGGGAAGAUAAUGACAGUACCCUUGGAGGAAGCCCCGGCUAAAUACGUGCCAGCCGCCGCCGUAA